AUUGAACGCUGGCGGCAUGCCUUACACAUGCAAGUCGAACGGCAGCACGGGUGCUUGCACCUGGUGGCGAGUGGCGAACGGGUGAGUAAAGUAUCGGAACGUGCCUGGUAGUGGGGGAUAACUAGUCGAAAGACUAGCUAAUUCCGCAUACGAUCUAAGGAUGAAAGCAGGGGACCUUCGGGCCUUGUGCUAUCAGAGCGGCCGAUAUUUGAUUAGCUAGUUGGUGGGGUAAAAGCCCCCCAAGGCGACGAUCCGUAGCUGGUUUGAGAGGACGACCAGCCCCCCUGGAACUGAGACCCGGUCCCGACUCCUUCGGGAGGCAGCCGUGGGGAAUUUUGGACAAUGGGGGCAACCCUGAUCCAGCAAUGCCGCGUGAGUGAAGAAGGCCCUCGGGUUGUAAAGCUUUUUUGUCAGGGAAGAAAAGGCUGUGGCUAAUAUCCCCAGCUGCUGACGGUACCUGAAGAAUAAGCCCCGGCUAACUACGUGCCC
rnacentral:rRNA from 1 species